GACGAACGCUGGCGGCGUGCCUAAUACAUGCAAGUCGAACGCUGAAGGAGGAGCUUGCUUCUCUGGAUGAGUUGCGAACGGGUGAGUAACGCGUAGGUAACCUGCCUGGUAGCGGGGGAUAACUAUUGGAAACGAUAGCUAAUACCGCAUAAUAGCAGUUGUUGCAUGACAACUGUUUGAAAGGUGCAAUUGCACCACUACCAGAUGGACCUGCGUUGUAUUAGCUAGUUGGUGGGGUAACGGCUCACCAAGGCGACGAUACAUAGCCGACCUGAGAGGGGGAUCGGCCACACUGGAACUGAGACACGGCCCAGACUCCUACGGGAGGCAGCAGUAGGGAAUCUUCGGCAAUGGACGGAAGUCUGACCGAGCAACGCCGCGUGAGUGAAGAAGGUUUUCGGAUCGUAAAGCUCUGUUGUAAGAGAAGAACGAGUGUGAGAGUGGAAAGUUCACACUGUGACGGUAUCUGACCAGAAAGGGACGGCUAACUACGUG
rnacentral:rRNA from 1 species